rnacentral:rRNA from 1 species
UACGUAGGGUGCAAGCGUUGUCCGGAAUUAUUGGGCGUAAAGAGCUCGUAGGCGGUUUGUCGCGUCGAAUGUGAAAACCCGGGGCUCAACCCCGGGCCUGCAUUCGAUACGGGCAGACUAGAGUUCGGUAGGGGAGGUCUGGAAUUCCUGGGUGUAGCGGUGAAAUGCGCAGGAUAUCAGGAGGAACACCGGUGGCGAAGGCGGGACUCUGGGCCGAUACUGACGCUGAGGAGCGAAAGCGUGGGGAGCAAACAGG